rnacentral:rRNA from 1 species
UACGUAGGGGGCAAGCGUUGUCCGGAAUCAUUGGGCGUAAAGCGAGCGUAGGCGGCCCGAUAAGUCUGCUGUAAAAGUCAACGGCUCAACCGUUGAAAGCCGGUGGAUACUGUCGGGCUAGAGUUCGGAAGAGGCGAGUGGAAUUCCUGGUGUAGCGGUGGAAUGCGCAGAUAUCAGGAGGAACACCAAUAGCGAAGGCAGCUCGCUGGGACGUUACUGACGCUGAGGAGCGAAAGCAUGGGGAGCGAACAGG